rnacentral:ncRNA from 1 species
GAAUAGAGGCGCGGCAAACAUCAGUACCGGGAAGCAAUGCCAGACAGCAGCUUUGCGGGAAAGGGGAUGCCGCCGAAGGGUUUUGGGUGUGUCUGCACCGGAAAUGCCUGGUUCGGCAGAGAAGAUCUGACGAACUGCCGCGGAUUUCCCGCGGAGAGCUAUGA